GAUGAACGCUGGCGGCGUGCCUAAUACAUGCAAGUCGAGCGAACAGAUAAUUAUCUUUCUCCUUUGACGUUAGCGGCGGACGGGUGAGUAACACGUUGGUAACCUACCUAUAAUACUGUGAUAACUUCGUGAAACCGGAGCUAAUACCGGAUAAUAUUUCGAACCGCAUUGUUCGAUAGUGAAAUAUGGUUUUGCUUUCACUUAUAGAUGUACCCGCGCCGUAUUAGCUAGUUGGUAAGGUAACGGCUUACCAAGGCGACGAUACGUAGCCGAACUGAGAGGGGGAACGGCCAAACGGGAAGUGAGACACGGACCAGAAGCCUACGGGAGGAAGCAGUAGGGAAGAUGACGCAAUGGGCGAAAGCAUGACGGAGCAAAGCCGCGUGAGUGAUGAAGGACUUCGGAGCGUAAAACUCUGUUAUUAGGGAAGAAAAAAAGUGUAAGUAAAUGUGCACGUAAUGACGGUAACUAAAAAGAAAGCAACGGCUAACUACGUG
rnacentral:rRNA from 1 species